AGCAGCCGCGGUAAUUCCAGCUCCAAUAGCGUAUAUUAAAGUUGUUGCAGUUAAAAAGCUCGUAGUUGAAUUUCGGGAUCAGUACGCUGGUCGUGCCUUUGGUAUGUACUGGUGUCACUGAUUCCUCCCUUCUGAAGAACCGUUAUGCCAUUUAUUUGGUGUGGCGGGAAAUCAGGACUGUUACUUUGAAAAAAUUAGAGUGUUUAAAGCAGGCUCGCGCUUGAAUACAUUAGCAUGGAAUAAUGAAAUAGGACGUUUGAUCUUAUUUUGUUGGUUUCUAGGAUCGACGUAAUGAUUAAUAGGGAUAGUUGGGGGCAUUAGUAUUCAAUUGUCAGAGGUGAAAUUCUUGGAUUUAUUGAAGACUAACUACUGCGAAAGCAUUUGCCAAGGAUGUUUUCAUUAAUCAAGAACGAAAGUUAGGGGAUCGAAGACGAUCAGAUACCGUCGUAG
rnacentral:rRNA from 1 species